CUUCCGCAGAGCAGGAAGAGCUCUGACCCAGGACUGAUGGAGCAUUCCCUCCAACAGAGGCAGCCAGAGCCAGGUCACCUUUGCUUCUUGGGUUUUACAUCUCUGCAUAUUUGGUUCCCUAAAAUGCAGCCGUUUAUGUGCUAUCCCUCCCAAGGCCAGCCCAAUAUGUCUCUGAUCCUGUCACGUAGCCCUUUGCUGAUCUGAGCCAUGGUGCUCCAGUAGCAUUUGAGAAAAUGGCUGCUUCAUCAGCCCAGAUCCCUGGAUGACUACCAUGAGCAGAGCCCCCUGCCAAACUGGCA